AUACGGAGGGGGCUAGCGUUGUUCGGAAUUACUGGGCGUAAAGGGUGCGUAGGCGGUCUAGGAAGUCUGAGGUGAAAGUCCCCGGCUCAACCGGGGGAGGACCUCAGAAACCCAUAGGCUAGAGGGCUGGAGAGGGAAGCGGAAUUCCCGGUGGAGCGGUGAAAUGCGUAGAUAUCGGGAGGAACAUCGGAGGCGAAGGCGGCUUCCUGGACAGCAUCUGACGCUGAGGCACGAAAGCUAGGGGAGCGAACGGGAUUAGAAACCCCAGUAGUCC
rnacentral:rRNA from 1 species